UACAGAGGUCUCAAGCGUUGUUCGGAUUCAUUGGGCGUAAAGGGUGCGUAGGUGGCGGGGCAAGUCUGGUGUGAAAUCUCGGAGCUCAACUCCGAAACUGCACUGGAUACUGCCUUGCUCGAGUACUGGAGAGGAGAUUGGAAUUUACGGUGUAGCAGUGAAAUGCGUAGAGAUCGUAAGGAAGACCAGUGGCGAAGGCGGGUCUCUGGACAGUUCCUGACACUGAGGCACGAAGGCCAGGGGAGCAAACGGG
rnacentral:rRNA from 1 species